GUGCACCAGUCGCGAAGCCUCCGCAAUACACGAAAGUGUGACGGGGCCAUCCCGGGUGCCGUCCGCUGAGGACGGCUUUUCCCCAGUGUACACAGCUGGGGGAAUAAGGAGAGGGCAAGCCUGGUGUCAGCCGCCGCGGUAAUACCAGCUCUCCGAGUGGUGGGGACGCUUAUUGGGCCUAAAGCAUCCGUAGCCGGCUGGGCAAGUCCUCCGUUAAAUCCAACGAUUCAAUCGUUGGGCUGCGGGGGAUACUGUCCAGCUUGGGGGCGGGAGAGGCCGACGGUAUUCCCGGGGUAGGGGUGAAAUCCUAUAAUCCCGGGAGGACCACCAGUGGCGAAGGCUGUCGGCUAGAACGCGCCCGACGGUGAGGGAUGAAAGCUGGGGGAGCGAACCGGAUUAGAUACCCCUGUAGU
rnacentral:rRNA from 1 species